GAAACUCACAGACUGUUUUACACAACCAACUGGGGACACGAACAGAACACAGAGGAGAGACACAGAACACCUGCUUUGAGUCAUAGCAGGGAGCAGCAGAGAUGGACAUGAGCAUGAGACACUUUGUUGGGGUUAUUCUGUAAGUAUUUUCUGUGAAUGGCAAUAGUUAAAAGACAUGAAGUGCAGAAGCGCUGUUUAAGUGGUGUGUGUGUGUGUGUGUGUGUGUGUGUGUGUGUGUGUGUGUGUGUGUGUGUGAGUGAAUGAGAGAGAUUGUUGACUAUGAGUUUGAUUUUCAAAAGAGUUCAGCAAUGCAGUCAACAUCACUUUACAGGAUUUUUAUUCUGGUCCUCUCAUGGUGAUCCCUGAUGAUCCUGUGAAAAAGGGAACCUUCGUUAGUCUUAGCUGCAACUUGAGAAGAAAAAAUAUCUUUCCCAGUGUGGCUUUUUACCACAAUAACAAACUUAUCCAAAAUGACUCCCGAGAGGAGCUGAACUUCUUGGCAGUGUCAAAGUCUGAUGAAGGUUCCUACAAGUGUCAGUACUCAGGAAAAGAGUCACCAUCGCGUUGGAUGUCUGUUAAGUCUGCUGUCGGACCUGAAAGCUCUUCAUUUCCUGUCACAGCCAGAAUGAAAGUCAUGAUUGCAGUCGCCUUCAUCCUGAUUUUUUUUAUUUAGGUAAUGCUGCUGUCUAUGAAUCAGUAACACAAAUGGAAGACACUGGAGAAGGUCAGUGAGGAGAGCUGACGCAACAAAGCAAAAAAGAAGCAUUUUGUGAACCCACUGUUGCUCCUCUACAUGCUUCGUAUCUUCCACAGUUAGUUUGUUUGAAGAUAAUACAACAAAAUGCCGACUUCAUAGUCUCUUUCAGCACAAAUAAAACAAGAAA